rnacentral:tRNA from 1 species
AUACAGGUGGUUCAGUGGUAGAAUUCUCAUUUUCCAUGUGGGAGAUCUGAGUUCAAUUCCCAGCCAGUGUA